UUUAUCUAUUUUGUUUCUUCAGUAGUACACAAACCAAACUAAAACUUAUAAUGUUACUUAUUUUGAUGUCAAAUUGGUCGAGCCAUCUAUCUUUAGGAUGACCAAGUUUAUGGGUUUUUUAACAUUUGCUACGCUAAUUGAUCAUUGUUUUUCUCAAUCUGCUAAUUCUGAGGAUUAAAACUGGGAGUGGCACUGCAAUGACGAUGGACACGAAGGCCGGUAGCUGGUAGGAAGGAGGUGGUUUGAUGUGGGUACCUUGACUCCCACGGAUUACCCAUGGUGUCUGGAGGCGAGAAAAGAUCUACUGUGAUGUCGAACUCUGGUGUGCCACGAUGGCACCAGUUAUGACCGCAGCCUCCCAGGUGAUCGCACUAGAUUCACUUCGUAUUUUCCAUCCCCGGUCUGAUCAAUGGUUUACGGACUGAACUGCUGACUAGAAAAAUGACCCCGUCUAUGCUUAUGGUGUUCUUUCCCGUAUUUAGUAGAAGAUUUUUUUGUAGUUCUUGCAUACAGUAUAUGAUGAGGAUAGCUCCUGUAAUUGUGUGUCGAGUUCCAGAUAGACCAGGGCAAUGGGCAUCCACAUGUACAUAUUUUUUUCAGAGGGGAAAAAGUGAAAACCAGUGAACACUUACCUUACCUAUAAAAAAAUAAGCCAUCUGUCUUUGAGGGUUUCCAUGUAUGGGAAAUUAGCUAUUGGAGGCAUGAGAAAAAAUUCUUUGUGGUGGAUGUAUGUACAUAACAAGAAAGAUAAACUAUAUCUGCUAAGUGCUUCAUGUUUGUAUGCCCAGGAAAUGAGAUGGCAUGACCCUGUGGUAUACCCCUCUCUGUUCCUAGUUAUAAGGUGCACACGUUUUCGAGACAGGCUUUUGUUGCUUUCUGUUAUGUCCACUAGCCAUUGCCAAAAUAUAACUGAAUUUAAUGUGUAAGAUCUUAACUUGAGAUGGAGUUCUCCUGUUGCGUUAAUUCCAUUUAGAACCCCCAUGCUCGAGGUAGACAAGCAAAUAGGUACUAGUAUUUUCGUACUUUUACCACAAUAUUAUGUCAGGUGUUCCCUUUGUACUAGACUAGAGGUGUGGUGCUUAUGUUUCAGAUGUUUUUGAAUUUCAGUGCCAGGUUUGUAGCCUGAAGUGAUGAAGAAAAAGAGCUGGCCGGUGACAGAUGCUGCAAAUCUCACAACGCAAUUUGAAGCAGUUGCUAUGGAUGGUGAUGCACCUCUUGCUCCACACCUCCCUUUGGAAACUGUCUAUUGGCUCAGGUUUCUGUCAGAUGCCACGUGAUGCGGUAUCUGCUGAUGUCGACAACUAGAUGUGUGAAGUUGUGUCACUGAAGGCUGUAGGCAGGCCUGUCCUCAACUGCCUAUUUAUCACUAGCCCUGAUGAUUCGGUGCUUUGUUUUGCUUGCGUUAUUCAGUUUAUGUCUCGUGUCUCUUUGAGCUCCAGAACUUUUUCCAUACUUCAGUCAGUAUGCACAUAUUAUCAUGUGCAAUUUAUUAUAUUUAUUUGUGGUGCUGUUA